rnacentral:rRNA from 1 species
CGUCGUUAUAAACCCGCUCGUCAAGGUCUGAUCUCGUUACGUCUUAAAAGCUAAGCAGGGACGGGCCUGGUUAGCGCUCGGAUGGGAGACCUGCUGGGAAUUUCAGGUGCCACAGUGA